AGGUCGGACCCGGCCCGGAUUUUUAUUCACCUCUAAAACAUUUGAGAUAAAAUACGGAGUAGCAAAAGUUCAAUACACCAAUAAGGUUCAAGAUUGCAACAAGGCCGAACAAAGGCGCAAACACCUCUUUGGUAGCAACAGCAAUAAUCAACACUCUCAAAGCAAGAUUUCAUCUGAAAAUCAAAGUCAGCAGAAAUGAACUACCCCCUUUCCUUGAAGCCAUUGAGAAUUGUUCAUCCGUUACAUCCAAUGAAGCAUCUGAUUCUGGGCGAUGAUGCUCACAAUGUGUUUGUUAAAAUGUCCGAGAGAGCAUUUGCACAGGUAAACGUCCAUCUGGUACAUCCAAUGAAGUAUCUUGGCGAUCAUGCUGACAAGGUGUUUGUUAAAUGUCCAAGAGAGCAUUUGCGCAGGUAACUCAAACUGGAUGUGUAUUAUCUUCCAACGCACUUGUUAAGUUCUUAUAGCCGUUUUUAAAGUCUAUGCAUUUCUUCCAUGAUUCCAUCCACUGCCGGGAUCAUUGCAAUGACCACUACUAACUACUCUAGUGCUUCGUAUAUGAAAAUACUCACCUGCUAAAACUUAUGGAAUCUGUUUUCCUAUUUAGGUAACGUUCUUAUCUUAUCUUAUUGAACUUUUAACUUAUCCCAACUUAUUAGACUUAGGCUUCAUUUGGUAACGCGUAAAACAUUUUCAUUGUAAAUUUCAAGGAAAAACACAAUUACAAACUUUUGUUUGGUACCUUAAAAGAAAAUGGGAGAAGACGGUGAAGAUUGGGAGAAGAUGGUGAAGAUUGAGGGGAAGAAAGGAGAGGAGGUACCGAGGUAAGGAAGAAAAAAAAGGAAAAGUGGUUUCCUCCCUUUUAAAUGGAAAUGAGUUUUCCACCUUUGAGGGAGUCAUAGAGUUUUCUAUCCCUUACCCAACCAAACAACGUAAAAUGAUUGAAAGGGAAAAAUCGUUUUUCAUGAAAACGUUUUAUGCCCUACCGAAUGGAGUUUUAGAACUUAUCUCAUCUGAAAUGAUUAGACAUGAAAGGUGGGGCUUAUAGAAUCCUCGACUUCCAUAAAAAAAAUAGUGUCUCUCUUACCUUUGGCAUGUACUCUGUAGUUUUAGGUGAUACGUCGUAGUGCCGUAUGGCCCGUAUGGUAUAAUACGGCUACAUACUGCGGCAUAAAUUUAUUGUAGGUCAUCUUGGCAUAAAGCGAGAGAAUAAUGAGGAUAAGUUUUCUACUCUAUGGUUGAUCAUUGGCCACAAAUAAAAAUUGGAAUAUAAAUAUAUUCUACUCCCAAUGUAUUGCCCUAGUAUAAUACUACAGAGUACUGUAAUUGACAAGACAAGAAUUGUUGAAAUAAUUUCUUUUAAAACUUUGCAGAGAAAUGGUAUCUAAUCUUGGAUAGCAUUCACACUAAAACUCAUUCAAUUAUUUCUCCUCAUUUCCUUUACUCCUCAAAAAAACAUCACUAAUUCACAAGAGAAUAGAGAAAUCUUGAUGGAUGUAGCAGGAAGUCUUUCACUGGUGCAGUCUAUCCUCCAAUGGCUGGGCUCCCCCAUUUGGAGGGAGACUCAGUCUGUACUGGGCGUCAAGUCUCAGCUUGAAAAACUCAAGAACACUAUUUCCACCAUCCAAAACGUCCUCCUUGAUGCUGAGGAUCAAGAACGGUUGCAUCAAGGUCGUCGCACCAACGUUGAACGUGGCAGACUUGAGAGGCUUAAGGAAGCUCUUUACCAAGCUGAUGACUUGUUUGACGAAGUUACAACUCUUGCUCAUAUCAAGCAUCUCAUACCUGGUAACAAAUGGAAUAAAGAGGUAUCCCUUUUCUUCUCUUGCUCUAAUCAGCUUCGUUCUGCUUUUAUUUGGUCUCGCGAAAUAAAAGAGAUCAGGAAAAUGUUGGAUGAUAUUGUCAAAGAUCAUCACCAUGAUUCUGGGUUGAGACACCCAGUUGGUCUCGAAAAUAACCCAAGGGAAACACACUCCUUUGUGUGUGAGGAGGAAGAUGUGAUUAUUGGGAGAGAUAAUGAUAAGAAAAUAGUUGUGGAUAUGUUAUUAGACACUAUUGUUGAGGAGGAUGUUUCUGUUAUUAGCAUAGUUGGAAUUGGGGGGCUGGGAAAAACAACUCUAGCCCGACUUGUUUACAAUGAUGAGGAGAUUGGUAAGAAAUUCCCUCUGAAAAUGUGGGUUUGUAUCUCUGAUGAUUUCAAUGUCAAAGUGCUAGUUGGUGAAAUCCUUGCAGCUGUAAACCCUGAAAUUAGGCAAGAUGGUCUGAAUUUGGACCAUCUCCAGAUGAAGCUUCGAAAAGAACUUGAUGGGAAGAAGUAUCUCCUUGUUUUGGAUGACGUAUGGAAUGAGGAUCCUGGUAAGUGGCAUGAGUUGAGAAAACUAUUAAUUGGAGGUGGGAGGGCUAGCAGAAUUAUAGUGACAACUCGCUCCAGUAAGGUGGCAGAAGUUGUUGAAAGCCACCAAAUACAUGUUUUAGAGGGACUCUUAGAGGAAAACUCUUGGAAUUUGUUUCAAAGAAUGGCACUUAAACCAGAAGAACAUCCAGUGAAGCCACACUUGAUUGAAAUCGGAAAAGCGAUAGUCAAGAAGUGUGCCGGUGUUCCACUUGCCAUAAGGGUGGUUGGAAGUCUUCUUCGAGGUCAGAGUGAAAGUAGGUGGCAAUAUUUAAAAAACACCGACUUGGCAAACAUAAAACAAGAUGAGAUAAAUGGCAUUGUAUCUGUUUUGAAAAUUAGUUAUUAUUAUCUUCCAUUCCAUUUGAAGAGCUGCUUCAGUUACUGUUCCAUAUUCCCAAAGGAUUAUAGGAUUAUCAAGGAGGAUUUGAUAUGUCUUUGGAUGGCACAAGGCUUCGUUAUAUCAUCAGAUGGAGAGAGUUUAGAAGAUGCGGGUGAAGGGUGUUUCAAUCAAUUGCUGCAAAGGUGCUUUUUCCAAGAUGUAGAACGAGCCGAGGGUACUGGCGAAAUUCUAUCCUGCAAGAUGCAUGACCUGAUUCAUGAUCUUGCUAAAGAAGUAGCUGGAACAGAAAUCAUAUCUUCCAAGUAUAACACAAGGUGUUUUAGUGAGAAAACACGCCAUAUAUUUAUUGAUAAAGGAACACCAGGAGAUAUUUACAGUAACCUCACCAAGAUGAAACGAGUGCGUUCCAUUUUAAGUAUUUAUAACAUUUCUUCCGAUUUAAGAAGCUCUGUUGUCUUAUCAAAAGUGGAAUACUUAAGGGUAUUAAGCUUAAAUAAUUCUGCUUUGAAAACGUUACCGAGUAUGAUAGGUAAAUUGUUGCAUCUAAGAUAUAUUGACUUUUCUUACAAUAAUUUGCUCUCUGUGUUGCCCACAUCCAUUACCAAGCUUUACAACUUGCAAACAUUGAAGCUACGUGGGUGUGGUUGUCUAAAAACUUUGCCAUGGGAUUUGAGGAAAUUAGUUAAUCUUAGACACCUAGAUAUACAAGGUUGCUGGAGAUUGACUCAUAUGCCUAGCGGAAUGAACACCAUGACAUCUUUGCAAAAGCUAACAGGGUUUGUAGUUUGUGGAACAAGCAAAGCUUGGAAUUGGGGAUCAGCUGGUGUUGGUCAGCUUGAAGAUUUGAAGUUUUUCAUCAAUCAUAGUGACACUCUGGUAAUUUUUGUUCAAAAACUUAUCAGAAAUAAUGCAAUAGAAGGCAGGGAAGGGGGAUUUCUAUUAAAAAGUCAAGAUUUGAGGGAAAUCAGGUAUUUGUGGCAUCGUGACAGUGAUGGAAACAAUAAUGCAGAUGAAUUCCUGCAAGGACUGCAACCCCAUCCUAACCUCAGAAUGUUUGAGUUGUGGUCUUAUCCAGGAGUGAGGUUCCCAAGCUGGGGGGGCUCGUUAAUGAAUUUCCAAACUUGUCUCCCAAAUCUUGUCCGAAUAGAACUCUUGGGAUGUACAAGGUUGGAGCAUCUUCCACCAAUGAGUCAACUGCGUCAUUUAAAAGUCCUUGAAUUCUAUAGACUGCGGGAAGUGGAGUAUGUGCAGAGUAAUAAUGUCAGUGGAGAAGGGGCUCUGGCAACAUCAGGAGGGUCAAGACAAGUAGGACCAGAUGAUGAGUUGGUUUUCUUUCCAUCCCUUCAAAAGCUUGUGCUGGUGAAAUUGACAAAUUUAAAGGGAUGGUGGAAAUCAGAACCAGGGAAGGGUGAGACAGAAGAAAUGGCAAAUUCAUAUAAAUUCAAUCGGCUUUCUCAUCUGUUAAUACGAGGUUGUCCUAAUUUGACAACUUUUCCUGUCUGUCCGAAACUGGGAGAAUUGGAUGUCGACAGUUUUGGUACCUAUUAUUCUCGAAUGAUUGAAUAAAGCUGGUGAAGUUAUCAAAGGAAUUGAAAUGCACCACUUGACUGCCUUCCAAUCUCUAACACUUAAGCAUUGUGAUCAAAAUGGGUAGCCUGCUUAUCGUCUCUCCAAUCUCUUGAAAUUACGGGUUGCAGAAGACUGGAAUCAGCUGGUAGAAUUCACCACCUCACCUUCUCGCAAGUCACAACGACUUCCUUUCUCUUUCCAGAUUUUCCUUCCAUAUUUAUCUAUCUUUAGCUGAAGUUUUAAUUUUCAAUGGAUAUUUAAUUUCUACCUCAUGUAAAUUCGUAUGGCCUCCUCUCUUUUAAGAUGUUAAUCUGAACUUACAGUUUUAUUUUACUGAAAUAUUCUGCUAACAGGUCAAAUCACCUUCUCAGAAUGUCAUCCACAUGUAUAAGUUGUACCAGCAUUGAUGCAAAAUACUGAUCAACAUACUUGUUGUAAAUGAUCUGUAACAACUUUUAGGUAAUUCAACUUCGCUGCAAGAUUUUACGACUUCCUUGUUAUCAGGAGGUCUAGCCAGGAGGACUGACAAAUGGGAAAACAAAACUGAUCAACAUACUGCUUGAGUGCUUGUAAAGGAAAUGUGCCUUUUGCUACCGACAGGUCUCAUUCCUAACACAGCUCGGGCCAUUUCAGAGGGCUCGAAUAUCGUCACGUUGAGAUAUAGCCAAUGGUUCCGAUUUUCAAGUAAGGUGUACUCUAGAUUUGAGAUAAUAGAAAUCAAGUGUUUUUUCAAAAUUUGUCAAAGUGUUUGUUUCGUAAUAUGCUUCUAAUAUUUUCCUUUUCUUGGAAACUUGUCACAAGAGCACAUUUCUUUCAAAGUGCAUAAGGUUACA